rnacentral:rRNA from 1 species
GAGGCAGCAGUGGGGAAUAUUGCACAAUGGGCGCAAGCCUGAUGCAGCCAUGCCGCGUGUAUGAAGAAGGCCUUCGGGUUGUAAAGUACUUUCAGCGAGGAGGAAGGCAUUAAGGUUAAUAACCUUGGUGAUUGACGUUACUCGCAGAAGAAGCACCGGCUAACUCCGUGCCAGCAGCCGCGGUAAUACGGAGGGUGCAAGCGUUAAUCGGAAUUACUGGGCGUAAAGCGCACGCAGGCGGUCUGUCAAGUCGG